CGGUCCUAAGGUAGCGAAAUUCCUUGUCGGGUAAGUUCCGACCUGCAUGAAUGGCAUAACGAUUGGAGCGCUGUCUCGGGGAGUGACUCAGCGAACUUGUGGUUCCGGUGAAGACGCCGGGUGCCCGCAACUAGACGGAAAGACCCUGUGCACCUUUACUACAACUUGACAUUGGGUGUUGGGCGACUAUGUGUAGGAUAGGUGGGAGACGGUGAAGCGGGGGCGCUAGUUCCCGUGGAGUCAUCCUUGAAAUACCACCCUUAUUUUUCCGACAUUCUAACCUGGCUCUGUCAUCCAGGGCAGGGACAGUGUCUGGUGGGUAGUUUGACUGGGGCGGUCGCCUCCCAAAGAGUAACGGAGGCGCCCAAAGGUUCCCUCAGGCUGGUCGGCAAUCAGCCGUCGAGUGUAAAGACAAAAGGGAGCUUGACUGCGAGACGGACGCGUCGAGCAGGGACGAAAGUCGGGCUUAGUGAUCCGGUGGUCCUGGGUGGAAGGGCCAUCGCUCAACGGAUAAAAGGUACGCCGGGGAUAACAGGCUGAUCUCCCCCAAGAGUUCACAUCGACGGGGAGGUUUGGCACCUCGAUGUCGACUCAUCGCAUCCUGGGGCUGAAGCGGGUCCCAAGGGUCGGGCUGUUCGCCCGUUAAAGCGGUACGAGAGUUGGGUUCAGAACGUCGUGAGACAGUUCGGUCCCUAUCUGUUGUGGGCGUAGGAGAUUUGAGAGGGUCUGUCUCUAGUACGAGAGGAUUGAGAUGGACGGACCUCUAGUGUGCCGGUUGUCGCGCCAGCGGCAGCGCCGGGUAGCUAUGUCCGGUUUGGAUAACCGCUGAAAGCAUCUAAGCGGGAAGCCAGCCUCAAGAUAAGAUCUCCCGGAGGGUAACCUCCCUAAAGGCUACUCGUAGACGACGAGUUUGAUAGGCUGGAUGUGGAAGAGCUGUAAGGCUUGAAGCUAACCAGUACUAAUCGGCCGUGCGACUUAACAUC
rnacentral:rRNA from 1 species